rnacentral:rRNA from 1 species
UACGAAGGGGGCUAGCGUUACUCGGAAUUAUUGGGCGUAAAGCGUGCGUAGGCCGCUUAGUAAGUCAAAAGUGAAAGCCUUGGGCUCAACCUAAGAAUUGCUUUUGAAACUGCUAAGCUUGAGUACUGUAGAGGAUAGCGGAAUUCCUAGUGUAGGGGUGAAAUUCGUAGAUAUUAGGAGGAACACCGGAGGCGAAAGCGGUUAUCUGGACAGUCACUGACGCUGUUGCACGAAAGCGUGGGGAGCAAACAGG